rnacentral:rRNA from 1 species
GGAAUUGUGGAAAGUGGCGGAAGGGAGAGGAAUAAGUAGAAAUCUGCCCUCGGGACGGGGAUAGCGGUGGGAAACUGCCGGUAAUACCCGAUAACAUCUUCGGAUCAAAUGGUGUGAUUCCGCCUGGGGAUGAGUCUACUUCCUAUUAGCUAGUUGGUGGGGUAAUGGCCUACCAAGGCAACGAUGGGUAGCGGGUGUGAGAGCACGACCCGCCUCACUGGGACUGAGACACUGCCCAGACACCUACGGGUGGCUGCAGUCGAGAAUCUUCGGCAAUGGGGGAAACCCUGACCGAGCGACGCCGCGUGCGGGAUGAAGGCCCUUGGGUUGUAAACCGCUGUCGUAAGGGAACAAAAU